CCUACGGGAGGCAGCAGUGGGGAAUAUUGCGCAAUGGGCGAAAGCCUGACGCAGCGACGCCGCGUGAGGGAUGAAGGUCUUCGGAGCGUAAACCUCUGUCAGCAGGGAAGAACGGUCACAGGGCUAAGCAGCAGUGAAUUGACGGUACCGGCAAAGGAAGCACGGGCUAACUCCGUGCCAGAAGCCGCGGUAAGACGGAGGGGGCGAGCGUUAAUCGGAUUUAAGGGGCGUACAGCUCUCGUAGGCGGUAUGUCAAGUCAAGGGGGAAAUCCCCGCGCUCAACGUGGGAACUGCCUUUGAAACUGGCAAACUGGCGUGUGUGAGAGGCUAGUGGCAUUCCCGGUGU
rnacentral:rRNA from 1 species